UUUGGCGAUUUGUGGUGUAACAGAGGGUUCGAUUCAGCUCAGAUUGAACGCUGGCGGGAUGCUUACACAUGCAAGUCGAACGGCAGCACGGACUUCGGUCUGGUGGCGAGUGGCGAACGGGUGAGUAGCCGUAUCGAACGUGCCUAGUAGCGGGGAUAACUACGCGAAAGCGUAGCCAAUACCGCAUACGCCCUUCGGGGGAAAGCGGGGACCUUCGGGCCUGCAAACGUUAGGAGCGGCCGAUAUCGGAUUAGCUGAAGCAGGGUAACGGCUCACCAAGGCGACGAUCCGUAUUGGUCGAGAGACUGAACAGCCACACUGGGACUGAGACACGGCCCAGACUCCUACGGGAGGCAGCAGUGGGAAUUUUGGACAAUGGGGAAACCCCUGAUCCAGCCAUCCCGCGUGCGAUGAAGGCCUUCGGGUUGUAAAAAGUGUCUUUGAUAGAAAGAAAUUGAAAAUGGGAGAUAUGCCCUAACUGUUUAAAAAUUGCAGAAUAAGCAUCUGCCGUCCACAUGUGCCAGCAGCCGCGGUAGCUGUUAUAGGGUGCAAGCGUUAAUCGGAAUUACUGGGCGCACGUGCGCAGGCGGUUCGGAAAGAAAGAUGAAAUCCUGAGUUUAACUUGGAACUGCAUUUUUAACUACCGAGCUAGAGUGUGUCAGAGGGAGGUGGAAUUCCGCGUAGCAGUGAAAUGCGUAGAUAUGCGGAGGAACACCGAUGGCGAAGGCAGCCUCCUGGGAUAACACUGACGCUCAUGCACGAAAGCGUGGGGAGCAAACAGGAUUAGAUACCCGGUAUCCACGCCCCAAACGAUGUCAACUAGCUGUUGGGGCCUUCGGGCCUUGGUAGCGGCAGCGCUAACGCGUAGUUGACCGCCUGGGGAGUACGGUCGCAAGAUUAAAACUCAAAGGAAUUGACGGGGACCCGCACAAGCGGUGGAUGAUGUGGAUUAAUUCGAUGCACCGAAAACCUUACCUACCCUGACAGUUCAAAUCCCGUGAGAUUUGGAGUGCUCGCAAGAGAAACUGGAACACAGGUGCUGCAUGGCUGUCGUCAGCUCGUGUCGUGAGAUGUUGCUAAGUCCUGCAACGAGCGCAACCCUUGUCAUUAGUUGCUACGAAAAGGGCACCUAAUGAGACUGCCGGUGACAAACCGAGGAAGGUGGGACACGCUUAAGUCCUCAUGGCCCUUAUGGGUAGGGCUUCUCACACGGUCAUACAAUGGUCGGGACAGAGGGUCGCCAACCGCGAGGGGGAGCCAAUCCCAGAAACCCGAUCGUAGUCCGGAUCGCAGUCUGCAACUCGACUGCGUGAAGUCGGAAUCGCUAGUAAUCGCGGAUCAGCAUGUCGCGGUGAAUACGUUCCUCGGGCGCCCGUACACACCGCCCGUCACACCAUGGGAGUGGGUUUUACCAGAAGUGCGGUUAGCCUAACCGUAAGGAGGACGAUUACCACGGUAGAUUCCAGGAUCAGUGAAGUCGUAACAAGGUAG
rnacentral:rRNA from 1 species